rnacentral:rRNA from 1 species
AAAUUGAAGAGUUUGAUCAUGGCUCAGAUUGAACGCUGGCGGCAGGCCUAACACAUGCAAGUCGAACGGUAGCACAGAGAGCUUGCUCUCGGGUGACGAGUGGCGGACGGGUGAGUAAUGUCUGGGAAACUGCCUGAUGGAGGGGGAUAACUACUGGAAACGGUGGCUAAUACCGCAUAAUGUCGCAAGACCAAAGAGGGGGACCUUCGGGCCUCUUGCCAUCAGAUGUGCCCAGAUGGGAUUAGCUAGUUGGUGAGGUAACGGCUCACCAAGGCGACGAUCCCUAGCUGGUCUGAGAGGAUGACCAGCCACACUGGAACUGAGACACGGUCCAGACUCCUACGGGAGGCAGCAGUGGGGAAUAUUGCACAAUGGGCGCAAGCCUGAUGCAGCCAUGCCGCGUGUAUGAAGAAGGCCUUCGGGUUGUAAAGUACUUUCAGCGGGGAGGAAGGUGUUGUGGUUAAUAACCUCAGCAAUUGACGUUACCC